rnacentral:rRNA from 1 species
GUCUGAACUCAGAUCACGUNAGANUUUAAAAGUCGAACAGACUUAAAAUUUAAACNNCUGCACCUAAUAUUUUAUCUUAAUCCAACAUCGAGGUCGCAAUCUUUUUUAUUGAUAUGAACUCUCCAAAAAAAUUACGCUGUUAUCCCUAAAGUAACUUAAUUUUAUAAUCACUAAAAAUGGAUCAAUUAUUCAUAAAUCAAUGAUUUAAAUUAUUAAAAGUUUAUCAAAUUUUAAUAUCACCCCAACACAAUAUAUAAAUAAUAUUAUAAUUUUAAAUAAUCUACAAAAUUAAAAUAAACUAUAUAUAAAGAUUUAUAGGGUCUUCUCGUCUUUUAAUUAAAUUUUAGCUUUUUGACUAAAAAAUAAAAUUCUAUUAUAAAUUUAAUUGAAACAGUUAAUAUUUUGUCCAACCAUUCAUUCCAGCCUCCAAUUAAAAGACUAAUGAUUAUGGUACCUUUGCACAGUU